GUGACAUUACGGACGGGCGCUACUCAGGCACUGAUGACUGGGCAUUUAAUAGUCAGGUACCUGAAGUAGCGCGCGCCCUUGCUGUUA
rnacentral:pre_miRNA from 1 species